rnacentral:antisense_RNA from 1 species
AAUACGAAUACAAAAAUUAGUUGGGGAUGGUGGCAGGCACCUGUAAUCCCAUCUACUUGGAGGCUGAGGCAUGAGAAUUGCUUGAACCUAGGAGGCGGAGGUUCCAAUGAGCUGAGAUUGCACCACUGCACUCCAGCCUGGGCAACAGAGCAAGACUGUCUCAAAAAAAACCCAGCGCCAGGGAGAUUUUAAUGCCAGCCACCUAGAUCCAAACUCAGCCACUCCACGGACCCUCCCUGACGCUGCUGUGAGCCAGACACCACAGGGAGGCAGGGGCAAAAACUGACCCUCACGCAGCGUCCUCCUCCAGGGAACUGUGGAACACAUCGCAGAGAGAGCUCAGGUGCCACGUUUCAAUCCCUGAGCAGCUCUCACAAGCCUGCACCCAGGACUGGGGGGCCUGCUGGGGGAGCCCAAAGGACCCAAAGGGAAAGGGAGAAUUUCCAAGGCUGCAUCCAUCUCCAUCCAGCUCCAUCAGGCCCAGUGAAUUUCCACACAACCUGGUCGCCGCUGCUGUUAUAAAAUCAGAUUCCUUCUGUGACCCCUAGUAUGCACCCGUAAACCCGGCUGGAGGGAGGGAAUUCCUUAGCUACUGCUGUGCUUUUAACAAUUUUUCAAGAGUAGGACACUCGCUGUACACAAUAAACACUGAACACUGAA